GAGGGCGGAGCGAAGGAGCAGUAAGGCGCAGCUCAGGCUCGGGCCCGGGCUGGAGGCGGAGCCACGCGAGGGAUAGCUGUAGGGGUAGAGCCAAGCUCAGAGGGAUAGGGCUUGGGGCGGGCCGCAGGCUGGACCGGGCUCCGAUUGGGUGUGGAGCGCCUGGAGCUCCGCAGCCCGACGGCGGGGGCGGGAGGAUCUCGUAGCCCGAGGGUGGGGAUCCGGUGCACCUCGCGGGCAGAGCAGGAACCAGCUCUCUGCGCUUCUGUGAGUUGGGCUAGCAGGGUGGAGAAGGCGUGCCUUCGUAACUUGUUAAAAGUUAAUGAACCUAAUAAACUUGUUUCGGGAUCUACAGAGCCCCCAGAGCCUCUCUGGACUGGGGCUUUCUCCGUCUUAAGGCAGGUUUGGCCCCUUCUCUCUCUAUGUUGCAGUUUUGCUUUUUUUUUUUUUUAAAGUCUCUUACUACCUCUAGACCUUUGCCCAGUCUGUCUCCCUCAGCUGGGGUGCCUUCUCUAGUCAUCGAAGGCUUAUCCAUCCUUCUCUGAUCUUCUAGGAGGCAGCCCCAUGCUGGUAGCCAUCCUGGACUUCAGCCUGGGACCUGGCAACCAGGACAAGACAGAAGGAAAUAGAAAGAAAGAGAGAGAGGGAAAGGGAUAUGCCACCUGACUUCUGGAAACAUAAGUGGCCGUGAUCUUAUGGCUGUCCCCACUGGACAGUUGGCUGCAACCCUAAAGCUGGGCAAAGGUUCUCCUUGAUGAUGAUGUCGGUGACAGCGUCGAAGACAAACUUGACGUUCUGCGUGUCGGUGGCGCACGUCAUAUGGGAAUAGAUCUCCUUCACGUCGCGUCGCAUGUUGAGCUCGAGGAACUGCACCUUGAUGUAGUUGCCCGCGUCCUCAAAACGUCCUUCUUGUUGAGGAAGAGCACGAUGGACGUGGUGGCGAAGUAGCGGUGGUUGCAGAUGCUGUUGAACAGGUGCAGGCUCUCGUGCAUGCGGUUCUGAGGAGGGCAGAGGCUGUCAGGCACCACGGGGAGAGAUGGGCAGCUGCCCCCCGCGCGGCCUCGGCCGACGAGCCGACCCCUCCUCUCUGGGCUCUGGGGCAGCCGGGGCCUCCCCUCUCUGACAGCCCCAAGUCUUCCAGGGUCCCCCUCAGUGGGGCUGCUGGCUGCCUCCUCUCCUGCUUCAGACAGCUCUGGAACGAAUAUCCCCUCGCAGACGCUCCGGCUUCCGCAACACUGUCUCCCGCCUCCCCCCUCAACACACGGGCCCUGCUUGGCACUCACCACUUCAUCAUCCUCCACUAGCACCAUGUCGUAGGCGCUCAGUGCCGCGAUGAAGAUGAUGCAGGUCACACCCUCGAAGCAGUGGAUCCACUUCUUGCGCUCCGAGCGCUGUCCACCAACAUCGAACAUCCUGCCAGGCCAUUGGCGCCUGAACCCACGCAUCCAGGCCUCUGGACGUGCCCACAGGCAUCCCCUCGCCUCCUAAUGCCGGCUGGGGGGUGCUCAGAGGGGAUUGGCAUCUGAAGGGCCGGGCCUUUCCGUGGGCAGGGUGUCUCAGAAGGGGCAGGGUCUCUAGUAGGGACGGGGCCUCGGGGCGGUAAACUCGUGGGCAGGCCCCGGGAGUGAGAGCGAGGGUGGUUGUACCGGAAGUUGAGGUCCUUGAAGGAGAACUGCGUCUCAAUGAUGCCCGUGGUCUUGACACGCGAGCGCAGCACGUCCUGCUCAGUGGGCACAUAGCCCGGGGUUACCAGGCGCUCCAGGUCGGAGAGGUAGCUGCGGGAGACCCCGGGGUGUGGGUGGGGUUGGGUGGAGGGGGUGUGACAGGACCCUGCCCGCACCCCCGUGCCCUGCCUGUGCGCUCACUAGCCAGCGGAGUCGUUGAGCUGGUACUCCGAGGCGCGAUCGAAACAGGCCUGAAUACCCGAGUCCUUCCACAGUCGCUGGAUGAUGUCCGACAUCUCUUUGGGCAUCGUGCCCUCUUCGAUGGUGUCUGCCAUGUGCAUCAGCUUCCGGGCAUCGUCCUGGGGUCAGGGCGGGAGUGGUUGGUGUGACCGUGGGCCCAGCCCUGGGCCUCGAGUACCCAGAGGCCCUGCUCAGCCCGCCUCCUGGCACACCUGGCGCGCAGAGUCUCCGUAUUGGAUGUUGAGCGUAGUCAUGGCGCGCACGAUGGCCAGGAUGGACUGCAGCGUGUUGCCGUAGAUGAUGGCAAUGAACUCGAGGCACUCUUCCAGCGAGUACCCAUCCUGGUGGAUAAUCCUGCGGCCGAGGUGAACCGGGUCAGCGACUCAUGGGCGGCUGGGGAAGGACAGGCCCCAUUCACGCACCCAUCCCCAGGGUCCUGGGACGGGCAGGGGUACUCACUUCAUCUGCUUGACAAUGGUGCUCUUCCCGGACUCACCUGCACCUGGAAGGGAAGCCCCGGUGCCUCAGAGCCACGCUGACCUCACCUCCCCCAAUUCCACCCGCCCGCCCCCACCCCCUCCCCGGGAAGCCCGGAAGAUGGCUAGGGGGACACAGGGCUUAAGCCCAACCCCCAGUCCCACCUGUUUUCCCCCCACCCCUCAAAGAUUCUGAUACCCUGGCAGAAAAACUUUUGUAAAUAUCAGGAGUGACGGAGAGGGGCUGACGAGGGACAUCAGCGACCUCAACUGUGCUGGCGAGCCUCGAAGAUGCUGAUAUACGAAGUCUUUAUUAGUCUGAGACCAAAAUAAAGACAAACUGGAGCGCCA